GCCUCGAUGGCGUAAUCGGCUAGCGCAUCGGUCUCAUACAAUGACUAUGACCUAGUAUUCAUGCUGGGAUAUCCGGAGGUUGUGAGUUCGAUUCUCACUCGGGGCA